AAGGAGCAAAUUAACUUAGGUGAAGACUGGGCACGUCAGCUCAAUUUGAGAUUUUGGGUUACUGUAAGGUCUACAGAAAUGAUUUGGUUGGUUGAAGACUUUUGUAGUUAAAUUGGCAUUUCUUUGAAGAUGACGUUAAGAACUCUUAGUGAGCUGAGAGAAUGCUUUUGUGGCUUGCUGCUUUUGUUGGGAUCUGCUGCGGUUGUACCUGUGUGCCAACUUGUCUCUCUGAAAAUUUGAUCACAACUUCGAAUAACAGAGGUGUCCUUUCCCUUCUGGUGGUGAGUCUUGGCAGAAUGAAUAACGUUUUUUUUAAAGGAAAGGAGGAAAAGAGCUAUUCUGCAGAGUAGGACAGCGCUAAUGUAGACAGGCGCUCUCGGCUCUUCAGUUGCCAGCUUUCCAGGUGAUUUGACACAAAAGGAUCUGGAAGGCCCCAUUACUGAAGUUCUGAAUCUUACAUAUCUCACUGACUGUGGAGCAGUUAAGCUGGUGCCUAACUCGAGCCUUUACCCCCGGUGACUAGUGUUCAUGGAACUGGAUGGUAUCCUGGUACUCAGCAUGCCACCAGCGGAGAAAGGGUCCUGUUUGCAAUGGAAACUUGAGUGUUCUUGGGCAAGCCAGUUGUGUUUGUUACUUGUGUGCUGGGGCAAACAAGUAAAGGAGUGUUUUCCUGAAGUGGAUAUAGGUGAAAGAUUCCUGAAGUUGAUACAGGUGAAAGACUAAGGCAGACUCGUGAAGGAACACUGCUUUGAAGAAGACACAGGAGAAAGGAUGUUCUGCUAAAGCAAGCCCGUGAAAGGACAUGUGAUGAAGGAUUCUUUGUUAAUGACACACAUGUAUUGGUCUGCCUUACACUGUAAUUGAGCUCCAUUUACUUGUUGGGACUCCAUAACUUCUGGUGCAGUGCUGUAGUUUCUUUCCUCGUCUGUGGACUGGGGCUGUUUGGCAGAGUGAUGUCAGCUGAGACAGACUCAUGUGUUGAGGCAAGACAGGUGGAGGUCGUGUGAUGAUUGAUGGCUUGCUGGUACAGCUAGCUGUGCAAUGUUUGUGGGUCUCUUCACUGAUCUUUGCUUCCCUGAGAGAGGCACAGGCAAGAACUUCUCCUGACAUUCCUCUGCGUCCCUCCUGCUAACUUGAGCUGAGGCUGAGGCCUGGCUGUCUCUGCUAGGGCAUGUCACUGCUGUUGCUAACCUGGCCCUACCAAAGUGGACUGCUGGUAUAUUCAUGAAGUAUUUGCAAGUGGAUGGAGCUGCCGCUGCCUGCUAAUCUGUGAGCUGAACUGCUGAUUUCCAUACAACGCAGACUGGAAUUGCUCCAAAGAACCUUUCUAAACAGGUCACUCAGUAACUCCAAGAGUUGCUCUGCACUGAGUGGGGUCGGGCUAGGCCAACAAGAAGCCAACUAUCCUGUGAGGAGUGGGUGGAACCUCAGGUGGCUCUUUGGGAGAGAAGAUCUCUUCCCACCUGUUACAGUUCUUGGAACAAAAGACCCAGAGAUGGAGUAGUUAUUGCACACAGGGUUCGACAGCAGUAUUUUCUUUAUCCCUGUUUGCACGGAGCAGCCUGACUCCCUGCAUUUUCCGACCAGGAAUUCUUGCCAGGUCAGUAGGUGUGGGAAGGGCCAGGAUGGCAGACUGGAAGCUACUUGAAGCUGUAUACCCUUAACCGGGUUUGAAAAAAUGGGGAUGACCUUUCUGCGGGGACAGCACACACAUGGAGCAAGACAGCUGCCGGGCAGACACGUGAAGGAAUGUUCAGACACACACAUGCUCCAAAAGAGAUGUUCCUGGGAACAAUGAGAUGCUUGUUUCAACUGAAAUUAACUGAGAGAGGAAAGAGGGUGCCCAGCACCCGCUCCGGGUGUGUUGAAAGAAGCGCUGGUGUGGAGCUGGAGGGCAGGCAAACAGCCUGCUGUGUGAAGCCUUGCAUCCGUCAACAAAUUUAUUCAUUCCCUUUGGCCCAUGCUGUUCCAAGCACCUCACUUGAAGAAGUAGCUGGAGAUGUAAAUAAUUGUGAGCGCUAAAAAGAGGUUUAUAGUCUGUUGUCCUUCACUGUGUUUAAUACGUCAAAUGUCUGACGGUAGUGGCCAAGUGAAUGGCCACUUGCUGCUGCAGUUGUCAUCUGCAGCCAUUGCAACUUAAAAAUCGACAGAGCUUAUAAACUGCAAAUACUGAUAUAACCGUGUUUAGCAACAUAAACAUUUGUAUCAAUUAUGUGGAAAAAUGCAAAAAAAAGGGUUGAAGGUAAUGUGUCAAUAUGUAACAGUUGUGCGUGCUUGGGUUAUAGACAUUUUUCUUUAAAAAAAAACUUUUUCUUAGUAAUCGUUUUAAGUUUUCCAAAUAAAUUAAAAAUAUAUAAAUG
ensembl:lincRNA 2610037D02Rik RIKEN cDNA 2610037D02 gene